rnacentral:misc_RNA from 1 species
GUUUUCUCCUGCCUAGUUCCAAUCCUCCUCCAUGCAGAGGGUAUCAAUAGGUCACUGGUAGAAAAUAGCGCCAUCACACUUGGGAGACUUGCUUGGGUCUGUCCAGAGAUUGUGUCGCCACAUAUGGAGCAUUUUAUGCAACCUUGGUGUGCUGCUUUAUCCAUGAUUCGUGAUGAUGUUGAGAAGGAAGAUGCAUUCCGUGGUCUAUUUGCAAUUGUGAGAUUAAAUCCAUCUGGGGCAUUGAAUUCACUGGAGUACAUAUGCAGAGCUAUCGCAAGUUGGCAUGUAAUGAGGAGUGAGGAUCUACACAACGAAAUUUGCCAGGUGUUGCAUGUAUAUAAACAGAUGCUAAGUGAUGGAUCAUGGGAACGCUGCCUAUCAGCUUUGGAGCCUCCAGUUAAGGAUAAAUUAUCGAAAUACCAGGUAUAAUAUUGUUUACCUAGGUGGAUUUGCCCUUUGAGUUUUCAUCAGCGGAGCUGGAUUCAAGGCUUACGGAUUCAAAACUAAGUUUUUGGUCCAAUCCUUCAAAGAUUUAGUUGUGGCAGCAAAGGGUUUAAUGGUGAAAUAUGCGACCUUUUUUUAUUUAAUGUCUCUUUAACAUUGAUUAUCGACUCUUGUAACCCCUUUUUUCUUCGACAAAUGAAGAAUACUAAAGUUGAAAAUCGGAGCAGUGUACAAUCGGGAAACGAGCAAUUUUCAAGCGCUUAGCACACAUUAAUUCCUUUGCUGCCACAACUAAAUCUUUGAAG